UAAACGAUGGAUACUAGGUGUAGGAGCUAUCGACCCCUUCUGUGCCGGAGUUAACACAAUAAGUAUCCCACCUGGGGAGUACGUCCGCAAGGCUGAAACCCAAAGGAAUUGACGGGGGCCCGCACAAGCAGUGGAGUAUGUGGUUUAAUUCGAAGCAACGCGAAGAACCUUACCAGGGCUUGACAUCCAUCGGAUAACAUAGAGAUAUGUUAGUCCUUCGGGACGAGGAGACAGGUGGUGCAUGGUUGUCGUCAGCUCGUGUCGUGAGAUGUUGGGUUAAGUCCCACAACGAGCGCAACCCCUAUUGUUAGUUGCCAUCAUUAAGUUGGGCACUCUAACGAGACUGCCGCCUCACAAAUCGGAGGAAGGUGGGGACGACGUCAAAUCAUCAUGCCCCUUAUGUCCUGGGCUACACACGUACUACAAUGGUCACUACAAAGGGAAGCAAUACCGCAAGGAGGAGCAAAUCCCCAAAGGUGACCUCAGUUCGGAUUGUGGGCUGAACCCGCCCACAUGAAGUCGGAUUGCUAGUAAUGGCAGCUCAGCCACUGUCGGAUACGUUCCCGGCAUGUACACACCGCCGUCACACCAUGAGAGUUUGC
rnacentral:rRNA from 1 species